rnacentral:rRNA from 1 species
ACACGUAGGGGGCGAGCGUUGUUCGGAAUCAUUGGGCGUAAAGGGCGUGCAGGCGGUCCUGCAAGUCCGGCGUGAAAGACCCCGGCCCAACCGGGGGGACGCCCUGGAAACUGCAGGGCUUGAGUACAGACAGGGGUGCCGGGAUUCCCGGUGAAGGGGUGAAAUGUGUAGAUAUCUGGAAGAACACCAAUGGCGAAGGCAGGCAUCUGGCCAUGUACUGACGCUGAGACGCGAAGGUGCGGGGAGCAAACAGGUUUAGAUACCCUGGUAGUCCGCACAGUAAACGAUGUGCACCAGGUGGCGGGGGGUCGACCCUCGGUACCGUAGCUAACGCAUUAAGUGCACCGCCUGGGGAGUAUGCUCGCAAGGGUGAAACUCAAAGGAAUUGACGGGG